rnacentral:lncRNA from 1 species
AAUUUUGGGGUAAAUCCACCCGGAAUUGGCUCAUCCCGGAACGGAGCCGGAGCUGGAUUUGGCAGAUGGGAAUGUUGGGAAUACUGGGAAUGCUCCCCAGUGCUGGGGAUACUGGGAAUACUGGGAAGCCCCAGGAAUGCUCCAGAACAUCAGGAAUGCUCCGGAAUGCUGGGAUUGCUCCCCGAGACUGGGAAUACUGGGAAUGCUCCCCAACAUCGGGAACCCCAGGAACGCUCCAGAACACCAGGCAUACUGGGAAUGCUCCCCACUACUGGGAACACUGGGAACGAUUCCCAACGAGGACAUCGGAUACUGGGAAAGCUCUCCCCAAAUGCUUGGAAUACUGGGAACACUGGGAAUGCUCCAGAACAUCGGACACUGGGAAAGCUCUCCCCAAAUGCUGGGAAUACUGGGAACACUGGGAACAAUCCAGAACAUCGGAUACUGGGAAAGCUCUCCCGGAAUACUGGGAACGCUGGGAAUGCUUCCCAAGGCCUUGGGAAUACUGGGAAUGCUGGGAAUGAUCCAGAACAUCGGAUACUGGGAAAGCUCUCCCCAAACGCUGGGAAUACUGGGAACAUUGGGAAUGCUUCCCAAGGUCUUGGGAAUACCAGGAACGAUCCAGAACAUCGGAUGCUGGGAAUACUGGGAAUGAUCCCCACCACUGGGAAGGCUUCCCAGUGCCAGGAAUACCGGGGAAUGCUCCGGAAUGCUGGGAAUACUCCCCAGUACUGGGAAUACUGGGAAUGCUCCCCAGUGGCAGGAACAUCAGGAAUACUGGGGGUGGGAUCUAGCACCGCCCCUGCCCCAUGGAUGGGGGAUCAACCCCACACCAGCCCCAUAG